rnacentral:snoRNA from 1 species
AGCACUCAUUUCAAGCCGCAUCGCGCGAGAUACGCGUGCGCGUGUGGUCGGGUGAUGUGCGAGAG